rnacentral:rRNA from 1 species
GAGAGUUUGAUCCUGGCUCAGAUUGAACGCUGGCGGCAGGCCUAACACAUGCAAGUCGAGCGGUAGAGAGAAGCUUGCUUCUCUUGAGAGCGGCGGACGGGUGAGUAAUGCCUAGGAAUCUGCCUGGUAGUGGGGGAUAACGUUCGGAAACGGACGCUAAUACCGCAUACGUCCUACGGGAGAAAGCAGGGGACCUUCGGGCCUUGCGCUAUCAGAUGAGCCUAGGUCGGAUUAGCUAGUUGGUGAGGUAAUGGCUCACCAAGGCGACGAUCCGUAACUGGUCUGAGAGGAUGAUCAGUCACACUGGAACUGAGACACGGUCCAGACUCCUACGGGAGGCAGCAGUGGGGAAUAUUGGACAAUGGGCGAAAGCCUGAUCCAGCCAUGCCGCGUGUGUGAAGAAGGUCUUCGGAUUGUAAAGCACUUUAAGUUGGGAGGAAGGGUUGUAGAUUAAUACUCUGCAAUUUUGACGUUACCGACAGAAUAAGCACCGGCUAACUCUGUGCCAGCAGCCGCGGUAAUACAGAGGGUGCAAGCGUUAAUCGGAAUUACUGGGCGUAAAGCGCGCGUAGGUGGUUUGUUAAGUUGGAUGUGAAAUCCCCGGGCUCAACCUGGGAACUGCAUUCAAAACUGACUGACUAGAGUAUGGUAGAGGGUGGUGGAAUUUCCUGUGUAGCGGUGAAAUGCGUAGAUAUAGGAAGGAACACCAGUGGCGAAGGCGACCACCUGGACUAAUACUGACACUGAGAUGCGAAAGCGUGGGGAGCAAACAGGAUUAGAUACCCUGGUAGUCCACGCCGUAAACGAUGUCAACUAGCCGUUGGAAGCCUUGAGCUUUUAGUGGCGCAGCUAACGCAUUAAGUUGACCGCCUGGGGAGUACGGCCGCAAGGUUAAAACUCAAAUGAAUUGACGGGGGCCCGCACAAGCGGUGGAGCAUGUGGUUUAAUUCGAAGCAACGCGAAGAACCUUACCAGGCCUUGACAUCCAAUGAACUUUCUAGAGAUAGAUUGGUGCCUUCGGGAACAUUGAGACAGGUGCUGCAUGGCUGUCGUCAGCUCGUGUCGUGAGAUGUUGGGUUAAGUCCCGUAACGAGCGCAACCCUUGUCCUUAGUUACCAGCACGUUAUGGUGGGCACUCUAAGGAGACUGCCGGUGACAAACCGGAGGAAGGUGGGGAUGACGUCAAGUCAUCAUGGCCCUUACGGCCUGGGCUACACACGUGCUACAAUGGUCGGUACAGAGGGUUGCCAAGCCGCGAGGUGGAGCUAAUCCCACAAAACCGAUCGUAGUCCGGAUCGCAGUCUGCAACUCGACUGCGUGAAGUCGGAAUCGCUAGUAAUCGCGAAUCAGAAUGUCGCGGUGAAUACGUUCCCGGGCCUUGUACACACCGCCCGUCACACCAUGGGAGUGGGUUGCACCAGAAGUAGCUAGUCUAACCUUCGGGAGGACGGUUACCACGGUGUGAUUCAUGACUGGGGUGAAGUCGUAACAAGGUAGCCGUAG